CGAAUUCAUUUUCUGCCACCGAAUACAUUAGCAUGGGAUAAUGGAAUAGGACCCUGUCCUCCUAUUUUCAGUUGGUUUUGGCAGCGCGAGGACUAGGGUAAUGAUUAAUAGGGAUAGUUGGGGGCAUUAAUAUUUAAUUGUCAGAGGUGAAAUUCUUGGAUUUAUGAAAGAUUAACUUCUGCGAAAGCAUCUGCCAAGGAUGUUUUCAUUAAUCAAGAACGAAAGUUGGGGAUCGAAGACGAUCAGAUACCGUCGUAGUCUUAACCAUAAACGAUGCCGACCAGCGAUUAGGAGACGUUGAAUACAAAACACCACCAUCGGCGCGGUCGUCCUUGGCGCGUUCGUGUUCACGCACGGGCGCGCGAGGGCGGCUUAGCCCGGUGGCACCGGUGAAUGACUCCCUAGGAAGAGGGGGGGAAG
rnacentral:rRNA from 1 species